rnacentral:rRNA from 1 species
AGUCAUAUGCUUGUCUCAAAGACUAAGCCAUGCAUGUCUAAGUAUAAAUGAUAUACAGUGAAACUGCGAAUGGCUCAUUAAAACAGUUAUAGUUUAUUUGGUAAUCGAAUUUACAUGGAUAACCGUGGUAAUUCUAGAGCUAAUACAUGCUGUAAAGCCCGACUUCACGGAAGGGCCGUAUUUAUUAGAUAACAGACCAAUACUCCUCGUGUCUAUUGUGGUGAAUCAUAGUAACUAAUCGGAUCGCAUGGGCUAGCCCCGCGACAAACCAUUCAAGUUUCUGCCCCAUCAGCUUUCGAUGGUAGUGUAUUGGACUACCAUGGCUUUUACGGGUAACGGAGGAUUAGGGUUCGAUUCCGGAGAGGGAGCCUGAGAAACGGCUACCACAUCUAAGGAAGGCAGCAGGCGCGUAAAUUACCCAAUCCUAAUUCAGGGAGGUAGUGACAAGAAAUAACGGGUCGGGGCUAUGCCCCGGGACUGCAAUGAGAUGAAUUUACACCCCUUUUCGAGUAACAAU